GUGCUCACUUCGGCACCACAUCUACUAAAAUUGGAACAAUACAGAGAAAAUUAGCAUGGCCCCUGAGUAAGGAUGACACAAAAAUUCAGGAAGCAUGACAAUAAAAA
ensembl:snRNA U6 U6 spliceosomal RNA